UACGGGGGGGGCAAGCGUUGUUCGGAAUUACUGGGCGUAAAGGGCUCGUAGGCGGCCAACUAAGUCAGACGUGAAAUCCCUCGGCUUAACCGGGGAACUGCGUCUGAUACUGGAUGGCUUGAGUUCGGGAGAGGGAUGCGGAAUUCCAGGUGUAGCGGUGAAAUGCGUAGAUAUCUGGAGGAACACCGGUGGCGAAGGCGGCAUCCUGGACCGAUACUGACGUGAGGAGCGAAAGCCAGGGGAGCAAA
rnacentral:rRNA from 1 species